rnacentral:rRNA from 1 species
UUUAUGGAGAGUUUGAUCCUGGCUCAGAGUGAACGCUGGCGGCGUGCCUAAUACAUGCAAGUCGAACGAUGAAGCUUCUAGCUUGCUAGAAUGCUGAUUAGUGGCGCACGGGUGAGUAACGCAUAGGUCAUGUGCCUCUUAGUUUGGGAUAGCCAUUGGAAACGAUGAUUAAUACCAGAUACUCCCUACGGGGGAAAGAUUUAUCGCUAAGAGAUCAGCCUAUGUCCUAUCAGCUUGUUGGUAAGGUAAUGGCUUACCAAGGCUAUGACGGGUAUCCGGCCUGAGAGGGUGAACGGACACACUGGAACUGAGACACGGUCCAGACUCCUACGGGAGGCAGCAGUAGGGAAUAUUGCUCAAUGGGGGAAACCCUGAAGCAGCAACGCCGCGUGGAGGAUGAAGGUUUUAGGAUUGUAAACUCCUUUUGUUAGAGAAGAUAAUGACGGUAUCUAACGAAUAAGCACCGGCUAACUCCGUGCCAGCAGCCGCGGUAAUACGGAGGGUGCAAGCGUUACUCGGAAUCACUGGGCGUAAAGAGCGCGUAGGCGGGAUAGUCAGUCAGGUGUGAAAUCCUAUGGCUUAACCAUAGAACUGCAUUUGAAACUACUAUUCUAGAGUGUGGGAGAGGUAGGUGGAAUUCUUGGUGUAGGGGUAAAAUCCGUAGAGAUCAAGAGGAAUACUCAUUGCGAAGGCGACCUGCUGGAACAUUACUGACGCUGAUUGCGCGAAAGCGUGGGGAGCAAACAGGAUUAGAUACCCUGGUAGUCCACGCCCUAAACGAUGGAUGCUAGUUGUUGGAGGGCUUAGUCUCUCCAGUAAUGCAGCUAACGCAUUAAGCAUCCCGCCUGGGGAGUACGGUCGCAAGAUUAAAACUCAAAGGAAUAGACGGGGACCCGCACAAGCGGUGGAGCAUGUGGUUUAAUUCGAAGAUACACGAAGAACCUUACCUAGGCUUGACAUUGAGAGAAUCCGCUAGAAAUAGUGGAGUGUCUGGCUUGCCAGACCUUGAAAACAGGUGCUGCACGGCUGUCGUCAGCUCGUGUCGUGAGAUGUUGGGUUAAGUCCCGCAACGAGCGCAACCCCCUUUCUUAGUUGCUAACAGGUCAUGCUGAGAACUCUAAGGAUACUGCCUCCGUAAGGAGGAGGAAGGUGGGGACGACGUCAAGUCAUCAUGGCCCUUACGCCUAGGGCUACACACGUGCUACAAUGGGGUGCACAAAGAGAAGCAAUACUGCGAAGUGGAGCCAAUCUUCAAAACACCUCUCAGUUCGGAUUGUAGGCUGCAACUCGCCUGCAUGAAGCUGGAAUCGCUAGUAAUCGCAAAUCAGCCAUGUUGCGGUGAAUACGUUCCCGGGUCUUGUACUCACCGCCCGUCACACCAUGGGAGUUGUGUUUGCCUUAAGUCAGGAUGCUAAAUUGGCUACUGCCCACGGCACACACAGCGACUGGGGUGAAGUCGUAACAAGGUAACCGUAGGUGAACCUGCGGUUGGAUCACCUCCUUU